GACGAACGCUGGCGGCGUGCCUAAUACAUGCAAGUAGAACGCUGAAGGGGGAGCUUGCUUCUCCGGAUGAGUUGCGAACGGGUGAGUAACGCGUAGGUAACCUGCCUGGUAGCGGGGGAUAACUAUUGGAAACGAUAGCUAAUACCGCAUAAUAGUAGAUGUUGCAUGACAUUUGCUUAAAAGGUGCAAUUGCACCACUACCAGAUGGACCUGCGUUGUAUUAGCUAGUUGGUGGGGUAACGGCUCACCAAGGCGACGAUACAUAGCCGACCUGAGAGGGUGAUCGGCCACACUGGGACUGAGACACGGCCCAGACUCCUACGGGAGGCAGCAGUAGGGAAUCUUCGGCAAUGGACGGAAGUCUGACCGAGCAACGCCGCGUGAGUGAAGAAGGUUUUCGGAUCGUAAAGCUCUGUUGUAAGAGAAGAACGAGUGUGAGAGUGGAAAGUUCACACUGUGACGGUAGCUUACCAGAAAGGGACGGCUAACUACGUG
rnacentral:rRNA from 1 species